AACAGGAUUAGAUACCCUGGUAGUCCAUGCCGUAAACGAUGAGUGCUAGGUGUUGGAGGGUUUCCGCCCUUCAGUGCCGGAGCUAACGCAUUAAGCACCCCGCCUGGGGAGUACGACCGCAAGGUUGAAACUCAAAGGAAUUGACGGGGGCCCGCACAAGCGGUGGAGCAUGUGGUUUAAUUCGAAGCUACGCGAAGAACCUUACCAGGUCUUGACAUCUUGCGCCAACCCUAGAGAUAGGGCGUUUCCUUCGGGAACGCAAUGACAGGUGGUGCAUGGUCGUCGUCAGCUCGUGUCGUGAGAUGUUGGGUUAAGUCCCGCAACGAGCGCAACCCUUGUUACUAGUUGCCAGCAUUAAGUUGGGCACUCUAGUGAGACUGCCAGUGACAAACCGGAGGAAGGUGGGGACGACGUCAGAUCAUCAUGCCCCUUAUGACCUGGGCUACACACGUGCUACAAUGGACGGUACAACGAGUCGCGAACUCGCGAGGGCAAGCAAAUCUCUUAAAACCGUUCUCAGUUCGGACUGCAGGCUGCAACUCGCCUGCACGAAGUCGGAAUCGCUAGUAAUCGCGGAUCAGCAUGCCGCGGUGAAUACGUUCCCGGGCCUUGUACACACCGCCCGUCACACCAUGAGAGUUUGUAACACCCAAAGUCGGUGGGGUAACCUUUUAGGAGCCAGCCGCCUAAGGUGGGACAGAUGAUUAGGGUGAAGUCGUAACAAGGUAACC
rnacentral:rRNA from 1 species